UAAACAAAGACCAAUGAACCUUGAAAAUGAGGUCAAGGUCAGAUGAACCAAGCCAGGCAGACAUGUACAGCUAACAAUGCUUCUAUACAACAUAUAUAGUUGACCCAUUACUUAUAGUUUAAGAAAAAUAGACCAAAACACAAAAACUUAACACUGUGCAAUGAACCGUAAAAAUGAGGUCACGGUCAAAUAAAACCUGCGCAACUGACAUAAAGAUCAUAAAAUAUUUCCAUACACCAAAUAUAGUUGACCUAUGGCAUACAGUAUUUGAUAAAAAGACCGAAACUCAAAAACUUAACUUUGACCACUGAACCAUGAAAA
rnacentral:lncRNA from 1 species